AACGAACGCUGGCAGCAGGCCUAACACAUGCAAGUCGAGCGGGACCUUAGGGUCUAGCGGCGGACGGGUUAGUAACGCGUGGGAACGUGCCCAAAGGUACGGAAUAGCCUCGGGAGACUGAGAGUAAUACCGUAUGUGCCCUACGGGGGAAAGAUUUAUCGCCUUUGGAUCGUCCAGCGUUGGAUUAGGUAGUUGGUGGGGUAAUGGCCUACCAAGCCGACGAUCCAUAGCUGGUUUGCGAGGAUGAUCAGCAACACGGGGACUGGGACACGGGCCAGACUGCUACGGAGGGCAGCAGUGGGGAAUCUUAGACAAUGGGGGAAACCCUGAUCUAGCCAUGCCGCGUGAACGAUGAAGGCCUUAGGGUUGUAAAGCUCUUUCAGCUGGGAAGAUAAUGACGGUACCAGCAGAAGAAGCCCCGGCUAACUCCGUGCCAGCAGCCGCGGUAA
rnacentral:rRNA from 1 species